GUUUUUAUAGAGUGUAUUACAUUUUUUUUUUUUGUCGUUGGCUGAUGAUGAUGAUUCUAAAAACA
rnacentral:tRNA from 1 species